rnacentral:misc_RNA from 1 species
CAGCCGCGGUAUUCCAGCUCCAAUAGCGUAUAUUAGUGUUGUUGCGGUUAAAAAGCUCGUAGUUGAAUUUCGGGAUUGGGAUAUAUCGGUCGUGCCUUUAGGGGCAUGAAUCGGUGUGUGGCCAAUUCUCACCUUCUGGUGAAUUGGGAUGCUCUCGGGUGUUUCAAUGAACUAGGACUUUUACUUUGAAAAAAUUAGAGUGUUUAAAGCGGGCAUUUUUGCUUGAAUACGUUAGCAUGGAAUAAUAAAAUAGGACGAUGGUUCUAUUUUGUUGGUUUUAGGACCACGUAAUGAUUAAUAGGGAUAGUUGGGGGCAUUAGUAUUCAAUUGUCAGAGGUGAAAUUCUUGGAUUUAUUGAGGACUAACUACUGCGAAAGCAUUUGCCAAGGAUGUUUUCAUUAAUCAAGAACGAAAGUUAGGGGAUCAAAGACGAUUUAUGUACGUCGUAGUCUUAACCAUAAACUAUGCCGACUAGGAAUCAGACAAAGUUAAUUUUUUAACGACUUGUUUGGUACCUUACG